CGCAACAACAACCGAACAAGUAAUUGAGUUAGAAAAAGAUCAAACUUACCCGACAUCGAGCCCAGCUCGCUCGAGUGGUUGUUAUUGCUUAAACUAGUGUUGUUGUUGUUAUUACUGGUGCUAUUCUGGUGGUCGUGAUCCUCUUUGCAAUACAGCGCUCCUCCGUCCCGUAACGCGAAUUCGUCACCUACGAGUUGCAUGAAAACACAGUUUCUUUAUAAGCGAAAGUUGACUAAACGUUGCCUUAUCAGGAAUGCAUUGCAGAAAAAUUACUCAAAAAUAUGAAAACUGUACGUUUUGCCGUCCCUCACGAAGCAGGUACAGCUUUCGUCUAGGAACUGGCGGCACUCUUGGCACUUGAGGCAAGCCGCGUGCC